AUUGAACGCUGGCGGCAUGCUUUACACAUGCAAGUCGAACGGUAACAGCACUUCGGUGGCUGACGAGUGGCGAACGGGUGCGUAAUACAUCGGAACGUGCCUAGUAGUGGGGGAUAACUACUCGAAAGAGUAGCUAAUACCGCAUGAGAUCUAAGGUUGAAAGCAGGGGACCUUCGGGCCUUGCGCUACUAGAGCGGCUGAUGGCAGAUUAGGUAGUUGGUGGGAUAAAAGCUUACCAAGCCGACGAUCUGUAGCUGGUCUGAGAGGACGACCAGCCACACUGGGACUGAGACACGGCCCAGACUCCUACGGGAGGCAGCAGUGGGGAAUUUUGGACAAUGGGCUCAAGCCUGAUCCAGCAAUGCCGCGUGCAGGAUGAAGGCCUUCGGGUUGUAAACUGCUUUUGUACGGAACGAAAAGCCCUCUUCUAAUACAGGAGGGUCAUGACGGUACCGUAAGAAUAAGCACCGGCUAACUACGU
rnacentral:rRNA from 1 species